CCGGGCUGCCAUACCGGCGGGGCCACACCCGUUCCCAUUCCGAACACGGAAGUUAAGCCCGCCAGGGCCGAUGAUACUGCCUCCGCGAGGAGGUGGGAAAGUAGGUCGCAGCCCGGG
rnacentral:rRNA from 1 species